UACGGGGGGUGCGAGCGUUGUCCGGAAUCACUGGGCGUAAAGGGCGCGUAGGUGGCGUGAUAAGGGUGUGGUGAAAGCCCGGGGCUCAACCCCGGGUCUGCCAUGCCGACUGUCAGGCUAGAGUACUGUAGGGGCAGGCGGAAUUCCGGGUGUAGCGGUGGAAUGCGUAGAGAUCCGGAGGAAGACCGGUGGCGAAGGCGGCCUGCUGGGCAGUAACUGACGCUGAGGAGCGAAAGCGUGGGGAGCGAACAGG
rnacentral:rRNA from 1 species